rnacentral:rRNA from 1 species
GGUGAACGCUGGCGGCGUGCUUAAGACAUGCAAGUCGAACGGCAGUCUUCGGACUGUAGUGGCGCACGGGUGAGUAACGCGUAACUGACCUACCCCAAAGUCGCGGAUAACGAUUCGAAAGAAUCGCUAAUACGUGAUGUGCUGUCAGAUUGUGUUCUGCCAGUAAAGAUUGAUUGCUUUGGGAUGGGGUUGCGUUCCAUCAGCUAGUUGGUGGGGUAAAGGCCCACCAAGGCGGCGACGGAUAGCCGGCCUGAGAGGGUGGCCGGCCACAGGGGCACUAGAACACGGGUCCCACUCCUACGGGAGGCAGCAGUUAGGAAUCUUCCACAAUGGGCGAAAGCCUGAUGGAGCGACGCCGCGUGAGGGAUGAAGGUCUUCGGAUCGUAAACCUCUGAAUCAGGGACGAAAGACACUUCGGUGGGAUGACGGUACCUGAGUAAUAGCACCGGCUAACUCCGUGCCAGCCGCCGCAGUAAAAC